rnacentral:rRNA from 1 species
GACGAACGCUGGCGGCGUGCUUAACACAUGCAAGUCGAACGGAAAGGCCCUGCUUUUGUGGGGUGCUCGAGUGGCGAACGGGUGAGUAACACGUGAGUAACCUGCCCUUGACUUUGGGAUAACUUCAGGAAACUGGGGCUAAUACCGGAUAGGAGCUCCUGCUGCAUGGUGGGGGUUGGAAAGUUUCGGCGGUUGGGGAUGGACUCGCGGCUUAUCAGCUUGUUGGUGGGGUAGUGGCUUACCAAGGCUUUGACGGGUAGCCUGCCUGAGAGGGUGACCGGGGUCAUUGGGCCUCAGACACGGCUCAGACUCCUCGCGGAGGCAGCAGGGGGAAAAAUGGCACAAUAGCAGGAAGCAUGUGGCAGCAAUGUCUCGUGCGGGAUGACGGGAUCCGGGUUAUAAAACGAAUUCGCCUGUGAUGAAGCGUGAGGGAAGGUAAUGAGUAAAGAAGCACCGGCUAACUACGGG